GUGUGUGUUAGUGUGUGUGUGUGUUAGUGUUUGUAUGUUAGUGUGUGUGUUUGUGUGGGUAUGUCAGUGUGUUAGUGUGUGUGUGUGUGUUAGUGUGUGUAUGUUAGUGUGUGUGUUAGUGUGUGUAUGUUAGUGUGUGUGUUAGUGUGUGUUAGUGUGUGUGUUAGUGUGUGUGUUAGUGUGUGUGUUAGUGUGUGUGUGUGUUAGUGUGUGUGUGUGUUAGUGUGUGUGUGUUAGUGUGUGUGUGUUAGUGUGUGUGUGUGUGUGUGUGUUAGUGUGCGUGUGUUAGUGGGUGUGUGUGUGUGUUAGUGUGUGUAUGUUAGUGUGUGUGUGUUAGUGUGUGUAUGUUAGUGUGUGUGUGUUAGUGUGUGUGUGUUAGUGUGUGUGUGUGUUAGUGUGUGUGUGUGUGUGUUAGUGUGCGUGUGUUAGUGGGUGUGUGUGUGUGUUAGUGUUUGUGAGUGUUAGUGUGUGCGUGUUAGUGUGUGUGAGUGUGUGUGUGUUAGUGUGUGUGUGUUAGUGUGAGUGUGUUAGUGUGUGUGUGUUAGUGUGUGUGUGUGUGUUAGUGUGUGUGUGUGAGUGUGUAUUAGUGUGUGUGUGUGUUAGUGUGUGUAUGUUAGUGUGUGUGUGUUGUGUUAGUGUGUGUAUGUUAGUGUGUGUGUGUUAGUGUGUGUGUUAGUGUGUGUGUGUGUUAGUGUGUGUGUUUUAGUGUGUGCGUGUGUUAGUGUGUGUGUGUUAGUGUGUGUGUGUUAGUGUGUGUGUGUUAGUGUGUGUGAGUGUGUGUUAGUGUGUGUGUGUGUGUGUUAGUGUGUGUGUGUGUUAGUGUGUGUGUGUGUGUGUGUGUGUGUGUGUUAGUGUGUGUGUGUUAGUGUGUGUGUGUUAGUGUGUGUGUGUUAGUGUGUGUGUGUGUAUUAGUGUGUGUGUGUGUUAGUGUGUGUGUGUUAGUGUAUGUGUGUUAGUGUGUGUGUGUGUUAGUGUGUGCAUGUUAGUGUGUGUGUGUUAGUGUGUGUGUGUUAGUGUGUGUGUGUUAGUGUGUGUGUUACUGUGUGUAUGUUAGUGUGUAUGUUAGUGUGUGUAUGUUAGUGUGUGUGUGUGUGUGUGUGUUGUGUGUGUGUGUUAGUGUGUGUGUGUUAGUGUGUGUGUGUUAGUGUGUGUGUAGUUGUGUGUGUGUGAGUGUGUAUUAGUGUGUGUGUGUGUUAGUGUGUGUGUGUUAGUGUGUGUGUGUGUGUGUUAGUGUGUGUGUGUUAGUGUGUGUGUGUGUUAGUGUGUGCAUGUUAGUGUGUGUGUGUUAGUGUGUGUGUGUUAG
rnacentral:lncRNA from 1 species